UGAUGAAGAAGGAGGAGAAGGAUCAGAGGAAGGAAUGGAGACGGAUGACGAGGCAGACGAAUCGGCGGAUGAAGCAGCUGAUGGUGUCAAUGAUUUUGAAGGUUUUGACGACAUGAGCGAUUGAGGAGGACUCCUGAAAAUGGGAAAAGUUUUGAUUUGUGUCAGGCUGGUUGAUUGUUAGAUGUUAAGAGUGGGGUUAAAAGGUACAAUCUCACGUCUAGAUGUCUCGGCACGAACUCUGUAAUACGUAGUGGUUAUAUCGAUAUUGACGAGACUUUGUAUUGAGAACGAGUUUAUUAUGUAUUCUGAAAUGAAGAAAAACAAAAUUGACGAGAAUAGGAAAAACGUAUUGCAAAAAUGGAAAGAGCAAGGUUUUGGGGAGAGGGUUGAAUAAGUCAAGCCUGGUUUAGAAAAUGAUGGAUCAUAGAAGCGACAAGCUCUCCUUGGAAAAUGGAACACCAUCGAAUACAGAGGAGAAAAUGUUUUAUA
rnacentral:lncRNA from 1 species